rnacentral:rRNA from 1 species
ACUCCUACGGGAGGCAGCAGUGGGGAAUAUUGCACAAUGGGGGAAACCCUGAUGCAGCCAUGCCGCGUGUGUGAAGAAGGCCUUCGGGUUGUAAAGCACUUUCAGCGAGGAGGAAAGGGUGUGUGCUAAUACCAUACAUCUGUGACGUUACUCGCAGAAGAAGCACCGGCUAACUCUGUGCCAGCAGCCGCGGUAAUACAGAGGGUGCGAGCGUUAAUCGGAUUUACUGGGCGUAAAGCGUGCGUAGGCGGCCAUUUAAGUCAAAUGUGAAAUCCCCGAGCUUAACUUGGGAAUUGCAUUCGAUACUGGAUGGCUAGAGUAUGGGAGAGGAUGGUAGAAUUCCAGGUGUAGCGGUGAAAUGCGUAGAGAUCUGGAGGAAUACCGAUGGCGAAGGCAGCCAUCUGGCCUAAUACUGACGCUGAGGUACGAAAGCAUGGGGAGCAAACAGGAUUA